AGAGUUUGAUCAUGGCUCAGAUUGAACGCUGGCGGCAGGCCUAACACAUGCAAGUCGAACGGUAGCACAGAGAGCUUGCUCUUGGGUGACGAGUGGCGGACGGGUGAGUAAUGUCUGGGAAACUGCCCGAUGGAGGGGGAUAACUACUGGAAACGGUAGCUAAUACCGCAUAACGUCGCAAGACCAAAGUGGGGGACCUUCGGGCCUCACACCAUCGGAUGUGCCCAGAUGGGAUUAGCUAGUAGGUGGGGUAAUGGCUCACCUAGGCGACGAUCCCUAGCUGGUCUGAGAGGAUGACCAGCCACACUGGAACUGAGACACGGUCCAGACUCCUACGGGAGGCAGCAGUGGGGAAUAUUGCACAAUGGGCGCAAGCCUGAUGCAGCCAUGCCGCGUGUAUGAAGAAGGCCUUCGGGUUGUAAAGUACUUUCAGCGAGGAGGAAGGCAUUAAGGUUAAUAACCUUGGUGAUUGACGUUACUCGCAGAAGAAGCACCGGCUAACUCCGUGCCAGCAGCCGCGGUAAUACGGAGGGUGCAAGCGUUAAUCGGAAUUACUGGGCGUAAAGCGCACGCAGGCGGUCUGUCAAGUCGGAUGUGAAAUCCCCGGGCUCAACCUGGGAACUGCAUUCGAAACUGGCAGGCUAGAGUCUUGUAGAGGGGGGUAGAAUUCCAGGUGUAGCGGUGAAAUGCGUAGAGAUCUGGAGGAAUACCGGUGGCGAAGGCGGCCCCCUGGACAAAGACUGACGCUUCAGGUGCGAAAGCGUGGGGAGCAAACAGGAUUAGAUACCCUGGUAGUCCACGCCGUAAACGAUGUCGACUUGGAGGUUGUGCCCUUGAGGCGUGGCUUCCGGAGCUAACGCGUUAAGUCGACCGCCUGGGGGAGUACGGCCGCAAGGUUAAAACUCAAAUGAAUUGACGGGGGCCCGCACAAGCGGUGGAGCAUGUGGUUUAAUUCGAUGCAACGCGAAGAACCUUACCUACUCUUGACAUCCAGAGAACUUAGCAGAGAUGCUUUGGUGCCUUCGGGAACUCUGAGACAGGUGCUGCAUGGCUGUCGUCAGCUCGUGUUGUGAAAUGUUGGGUUAAGUCCCGCCAAACGAGCGCAACCCUUAUCCUUUGUUGCCAGCGGUUCGGGCCGGGAACUCAAAGGAGACUGCCAGUGAUAAACUGGAGGAAGGUGGGGAUGACGUCAAGUCAUCAUGGCCCUUACGAGUAGGGCUACACACGUGCUACAAUGGCAUAUACAAAGAGAAGCGACCUCGCGAGAGCAAGCGGACCUCAUAAAGUAUGUCGUAGUCCGGAUUGGAGUCUGCAACUCGACUCCAUGAAGUCGGAAUCGCUAGUAAUCGUAGAUCAGAAUGCUACGGUGAAUACGUUCCCCGGGCCUUGUACACACCGCCCGUCACACCAUGGGAGUGGGUUGCAAAAGAAGUAGGUAGCUUAACCUUCGGGAGGGCGCUUACCACUUUGUGAUUCAUGACUGGGGUGAAGUCGUAACAAGGUAACCGUAGGGGAACCUGCGGUUGGAUCACCU
rnacentral:rRNA from 1 species